rnacentral:rRNA from 1 species
GGAGUCUAACAUGUGCGCGAGUCGCUGGGAGCACUCGCUAAACCCGGAGGCGCAGUGAAAGCGGGGAGCAGCCCUUCGUGGGCCGCCGUUGGGAGGAUGUCGAGCGGAAUUCCCGCACGACCGCACUCCCGGGGCGCUUCGGCCUUGGCCGCAUGCGCACCCCGAGCGCACACGUUGGGACCCGAAAGAUGGUGAACUAUGCCUGGUCAGGACGAAGUCAGGGGAAACCCUGAUGGAGGUCCGCAGCGAUUCUGACGUGCAAAUCGAUCGUCAGAGCUGGGUAUAGGGGCGAAAGACUAAUCGAACCAUCUAGUAGCUGGUUCCCUCCGAAGUUUCCCUCAGGAUAGCUGGCGCUCAUUUGGAGAGGGACGAGUCUCAUCCGGUAAAGCGAAUGAUUAGAGGCCUUGGGGCCGAAACGACCUCAACCUAUUCUCAAACUUUAAAUGGGUGAGAUCUCCGGCUUGCUCGACUGAAGCCGCGAGAGUACCGGAUCAGGGUGCCAAGUGGGCCAUUUUUG